rnacentral:misc_RNA from 1 species
GAUGAAGAACCGCAGCGAAAUGCGAUACUUGGUGUGAAUUGCAGAAUCCCGUGAACCAUCGAGUCUUUGAACGCAAGUUGCGCCCGAAGCCAUUAGGCCGAGGGCACGCCUGCCUGGGUGUCACACGUCGUUGCCCCCCCAUCUACUCCUUCGGGAUUGCGGGGGGCGGAUGAUGGCCUCCCGUGCGCCUCGUCGCGCGGUUGGCAUAAAUGCCAAGUCCUCGGCGACGCACGCCACGACAAUCGGUGGUUGCGAAACCUCGGUUGCCCGUCGUGUGCGGUCGUCGCGCAUCGAGGGCUCGAAAAAAUUGCCGGGCUCCGGCUCGGCUUUCAACGCGACCCCAGGUCAGGCGGGGUUACCCGCUGAAUUUAAGCAUAUCAAUAAGCGGAGGA